GUGGGGAAUCUUAGACAAUGGGGGCAACCCUGAUCUAGCCAUGCCGCGUGAGUGAUGAAGGCCUUAGGGUCGUAAAGCUCUUUCGCUGGGGAAGAUAAUGACGGUACCCAGUAAAGAAACCCCGGCUAACUCCGUGCCAGCAGCCGCGGUAAUACGGAGGGGGUUAGCGUUGUUCGGAAUUACUGGGCGUAAAGCGCGCGUAGGCGGAUUGGAAAGUUGGGGGUGAAAUCCCGGGGCUCAACCCUGGAAUGGCCUUCAAAACUCCCAGUCUUGAGGUCGAGAGAGGUGAGUGGAAUUCCGAGUGUAGAGGUGAAAUUCGUAGAUAUUCGGAGGAACACCAGUGGCGAAGGCGGCUUCCUGGACAGUAACUGACGCUGAGACGCGAAAGCGUGGGGAGCAAACAGGAUUAGAAACCCCUGUAGUCC
rnacentral:rRNA from 1 species